rnacentral:rRNA from 1 species
GACGAACGCUGGCGGCGUGCUUAACACAUGCAAGUCGAGCGGUAAGGCCCUUUCGGGGGUACACGAGCGGCGAACGGGUGAGUAACACGUGGGUGACCUGCCCUCAGCUCUGGGAUAAGCCUGGGAAACCGGGUCUAAUACUGGAUAUGACUCCAUGACGCAUGUUGUGGGGUGGAAAGCCUUGUGCGGCUGAGGAUGGGCCCGCGGCCUAUCAGCUUGUUGGUGGGGUGANGGCCUACCAAGGCGACGACGGGUCGCCGGCCUGAGAGGGCGACCGGCCACACUGGGACUGAGACACGGCCCAGACUCCUACGGGAGGCAGCAGUGGGGAAUCUUGCGCAAUGGGCGAAAGCCUGACGCAGCGACGCCGCGUGAGGGAUGACGG